rnacentral:rRNA from 1 species
UACGUAGGCAGCAAGCGUUGUUCGGAGUUACUGGGCGUAAAGGGUGUGUAGGCGGUUCCUUAAGUUUGCUGUGAAAUCUCCCGGCUUAACCGGGAGGGUGCGGUGAAUACUGAGGGACUAGAGUACGGGAGAGGAAAGUGGAAUUCCUGGUGUAGCGGUGAAAUGCGCAGAUAUCAGGAAGAACACCCGUGGCGAAAGCGGCUCUCUGGGACGGUACUGACGCUGAGACGCGAAAGCGUGGGGAGCGAACAGG